AUUGAACGCUGGCGGCAUGCCUUACACAUGCAAGUCGAACGGCAGCACGGGUGCUUGCACCUGGUGGCGAGUGGCGAACGGGUGAGUAAUACAUCGGAACGUACCCUAUCGUGGGGGAUAACGCAGCGAAAGCUGUGCUAAUACCGCAUACGCCCUGAGGGGGAAAGCGGGGGAUCGCAAGACCUCGCGCGAUUAGAGCGGCCGAUGCCUGAUUAGCUUGUUGGUGGGGUAAAAGCCCACCAAGGCGACGAUCAGUAGCUGGUCUGAGAGGACGAGCAGCCAAACUGGGACUGAGGCACGGCCCAGACUCCUACGGGAGGCAGCAGUGGGGAGUUUUGGACAAUGGGGGCAACCCUGAUCCAGCAAUGCCGCGUGAGUGAAGAAGGCCUUCGGGUUGUAAAGCUCUUUUGUCAGGGAAGAAACACCGGCUCUAACACAGUCCGGGAAUGACGGUACCUGAAGAAUAAGCACCGGCUAACUACGUGCCAGCAGCCGCCGUAA
rnacentral:rRNA from 1 species